UACGAAGGGGGCUAGCGUUGUUCGGAAUCACUGGGCGUAAAGGGCGCGUAGGCGGCCGAUCAAGUCGGGGGUGAAAGCCUGUGGCUCAACCACAGAAUUGCCUUCGAUACUGUUUGGCUUGAGACCGGAAGAGGUUAGUGGAACUGCGAGUGUAGAGGUGAAAUUCGUAGAUAUUCGCAAGAACACCAGUGGCGAAGGCAGUUCUCUGGGCCGUAACUGACGCUGAGGGGCGAAAGCGUGGGGAGCGAACAGG
rnacentral:rRNA from 1 species